UGUGGGGUCCUUGGUGCUCUCUGAGCUUGGUUCUUUUCUUGCAGACAUUUCAUGACCCAACUAGAUAACACCAUCCAUGCUAGAAAGGAGUAGGGUUUGUGCAGAGGAGGAGGAGGACUGUGCG